UAAGCCGAAGUAGUAAAAAAUUGUUUGUGACGUGAAGUUGUAAAGUUUCAUAAGACGAAAUGUAUGUUGCUGUAUUAAUAACGGAGGUUAUCUCAGUGAAGACAGCUAAGCUAAGUUUCUGUGUUGAAGAACAUAAGUUCAGUAGAACAUAGCAGCCUUAGUGUGAUGCAAGUCGGAUUUAUGAAUGUUGCUUUGUAUUUUCAGAAAAAGGAAAGUGAAGAAAAUGUACAACCACCGCAUGUCAUCACUCGAGUGUGCAACACAGGCCCUGAACUUGAGAUGAAUAACGUUUCUCCAUUUCUCUUAAAUUAUUGUCACCUUCCCAAAAAUAAUGGCAUAAGUCAUUUUUGCCUAAAACAUCUUUUGAAAAAGGGCUGAAGAUUCCCCCCCCAAAAAAUCACAUUUGGCGAAAGAAGGACUGGCUGUUGAUUUAGGAAGGUGAAGUUAUGAUGAAAUAAUUUAAUAAGUCAGUUGCUGAGGGACAGAUUAUUAUAUCCCUGUUGAGUUUUCCUUCAGUUUGGAUUCUGACCCGUUGUAGAAGGAGUGUUUAAAAACACAGCAUACCCGGGCCGGUAUGGAUGCAGGUUUGCUGCACUGUAACUUUGACCAGAAAAGGAUGAAACAUCACAUCCAUCGCUGUUUAUCUCAGUUUCCAUAAAUCAGCACAAACUGCGGAUGUUUUUGUGGAAUUGGGAACACGACGCACAGGGAUAAACACAACGCCGCAGCGCCGCUUAGAUCCGUGGCCCUCAGCAGACUGUUUGGAGAUCUGAGUCAUCCCAGCAACACACUCCUGCGUUUUCCCGAACCGCACAAGCCCGGCAGAUGUCCAUAAAACCAACGCCAAGUCCGUCUUCAGUGAUCCAGCUUUUUGUCUUUUUUUCUCUCUGUGUGUCUUGGAUGCACAUAUACGUUCAUAAUUCCUGACUGCGCAUGAGUGGACUUAGAUUGAGCCGUCUCACUCAGAUGGGACUGUGUUUCUGGGAAAGUCCAGAACAGAGCAGUUGAUCAGUCUCCUGUGGUCUUUGCGUCAUAAACAGAAACGGUUCCUGGUCCAAGCGAGAGUUCAACAGGCUGAGGACAUUUCCACCGAGACCUUCGUUCAUUUCUCCUGUUUAAUCCGGUUGGUGUUUAUCAUGACUCAUGUUGUACUUCAGUGACUCGCGUUGAUGAUGAUUUAAAGUCAAGUCUCAAGGUUCGGUAUAAGGAGCUUUUCUCCAGCUCCAUAGCAACAAAAUGCUGUCUCUUGUCAGGGUUUUAACAAAAUUAUGGAUUUGUAUGGUAAGCUGUCAAAUAGUUGGAUCUAGCACGAAAAAAAAAAUCAAAAUCUGGACAUUAAGAAACUUUGUUCUUUUAUUUUCCACGAAAAGCUUCGAAUUGAAUUAAAAUAGAAGAUUUUCUCUUCUUUUCCCAAACCCUGUGCACAAUUUUCUGUUGCAGCAGAAUCGUGUGUAAGCCAACAAAGCAUCCAACAAACUGUGAGCCAAAGGGAACAUGUUAUGCUCGGCUAACCUAAAAGCACUGGAAGAGGCUGAACUGCUGGCAGAACCUGCAGAUGGUAAACGGUUCCUCAUGUCGCUAAUGAACCCUGAUGGAUUUAUUAACUCCAAAGAACAAUCUAAGGUUAUUUUUUAAUUAUUAUUCAUCAAAAAAAUAUGUCAUUUACGACCAUUAAAAUGUUUGAAAUAGUCCCAUGUGUUAACUAAUAAAAUUCAUAUGGGGAACUUGUGCAAGUCUCACUGAUCGAA